rnacentral:rRNA from 1 species
UUGGAGGGCAAGUCUGGUGCCUGCAGCCGCGGUAAUUCCAGCUCCAAUAGCGUAUAUUAAAGUUGUUGCAGUUAAAAAGCUCGUAGUUGAAUUUCGGAAUCAAUAUGUUGGUCGUGCCAUUGGUACGUACUGGCAUUAUUGGUUUCUACCUUCUGAAGAACCUCGAUGUCAUUAAUUUGGUGUCUUGGGGAAUCAGGACUGUUACUUUGAAAAAAUUAGAGUGUUUAAAGCAGGCUCGCGCUUGAAUACAUUAGCAUGGAAUAA